UACAGAGGGGGCAAGCGUUGUCCGGAAUUACUGGGCGUACAGCGCGCGCAGGCGGUUGCCGACGUGCCGUGUGACAAACGGGGGCUCAACCCCCGAGGGCCACGGUAAACGGGGCGACUGGAGGUAGGGAGAGGGAUGUGGAAUGCCCGGUGGAGCGGUGAAAUGCGUAGAGAUCGGGCGGAACACCAGCGGCGAAGGCGGCGUCCUGGCCCUAUCCUGACGCUGAGGCGCGAGAGCGUGGGGAGCAAACAGG
rnacentral:rRNA from 1 species